AUGUCAACAUGAGCAAAUCUUGGCCUUCAAGACAGAGCAUCUCCUUUAAUAGAACAAUUAACAUUCUUUCACGAUCAUGCUCUAUUAAUUUUAAUUAUAAUUACUAUUCUUGUAGGAUACAUCAUAAGCAUGUUAUUUUUUAAUACCUACACAAACCGAUUCCUUUUACACGGACAAACAAUUGAAAUAAUUUGAACAGUUCUUCCAGCUAUCACUCUUCUCUUUAUUGCUUUCCCAUCUUUACGACUUCUUUAUCUCUUAGAUGAAAUUAAUGAACCAAUCAUUACCUUAAAAACUAUUGGACAUCAAUGAUACUGAAGUUAUGAAUAUUCUGACUUCACUGAUCUAGAAUUUGAUUCAUAUAUAAUUCCAACAAAUGAUUUACCAGCAGAAGGAUUCCGUCUUCUAGACGUAGACAAUCGAGUUACACUACCUAUAAAUACUCAAAUUCGAAUUCUAGUCACCGCUGCUGAUGUAAUUCAUUCAUGAACUGUACCGGCCCUAGGAGUCAAAGUUGAUGGAACUCCAGGACGACUAAAUCAAACUAAUUUCAUCAUCAACCGACCAGGCCUAUACUACGGCCAAUGUUCCGAAAUCUGCGGAGCUAACCACAGAUUCAUGCCUAUUGUAAUUGAAAGUGUUCCUGUAAAUAAUUUUAUUAAAUGAAUUCAA
rnacentral:rRNA from 1 species